CUGAGGUGACGCAUCGAAAGUAGCCUAGACAAGCCUACUCGAUAAUGUGACUUCCAAGGAAGGUUGAGUCUUUGGCUGUCUGUUGAAACGUGGGGAACUUAUCAGGACAUAGACGCGGAUACAUUAAAUGAAUUCAGGCGAACUGCUAUAUGAAGAGGGAGACUGAAGAAGAUAACCCUGUUUCCUGUAUGAACACAUGCUUGAUAGCGUCACGAGUCUUAUCGAAGACAGCACUGACCAUGACUGGAGUUUUCAAGUUGUUCGCCGCGACAUUCUUGGCUGUUGCAGCAACUCUCUUCAGGAUGGUGGACUGCGUUGGAGGUCUGAUGUACGUUCAGGGGCCUCUUAGUACGUCGUACAGCUACCAGACUGUGACAGAUGUGUAUGAAGUCCCAUCUGAAGAACAGCAUUUGAACAUCAGGAUCAGUCAACGAUGAUAAUGCAGACAAAACAGGACUAUGGCCCCUGGCUCACACAGUGGUUUUGGGCUUAGAACAAUUAUGCACUAGCUGACUAAGUAGGGCAUUUCAAGAGAGAAAGAGCCAUAGAUAUGAAAUCAGUACAUUAUUUGUACUUGUUUGCUCAUAAGUGAGUAAAGAAGUAGAUCAUCAAACAACACUUGAUACCAAUGCAGAAAAA